rnacentral:lncRNA from 1 species
AGAUCAUAUUUGGUAUUGGCUUCUGGAUUGGUAGUGUGGAGAUGGAUGGGCCUCGACAGAAUGAUCAUUUGGGUGUGAACAAGAUUGGGAAGAACAUCAGGAAGAGUCCUCUUCACCAGCCCAACUUCGGUGCCAAUGCUAAUGCUGCCGCUGCCGCGAGGCCUCAAGGGCAGCCUCAGGUUUAUAAUAUAAGCAAGACCGACUUCAACCAGCCCAACUUCGGUGCCAAUGCUAAUGCUGCGAGGCCUCAAGGGCAGCCUCAGGUUUAUAACAUAAGCAAGACCGACUUCAGAAGUAUGGUUCAGCAGCUGACUGGCUCUCCGUCGCGUGAGAGUCUCCC